rnacentral:rRNA from 1 species
GACGAACCGUGCGAACGUUGUUCGGAAUCACUGGGCUUAAAGGGCGCGUAGGCGGGCUGUCCAGUCUGGGGUGAAAUCCCGCGGCUCAACCGUGGAACUGCCUCAGAUACUGACGGCCUCGAGGGAGAUAGGGGCAUGCGGAACUGUAGGUGGAGCGGUGAAAUGCGUUGAUAUCUGCAGGAACUCCGGUGGCGAAGGCGGCGUGCUGGAUCUCUUCUGACGCUGAGGCGCGAAAGCUAGGGGAGCGAAUGGG